CAAUAGCGUAUAUUUAAGUUGUUGCAGUUAAAAAGCUCGUAGUUGGAUUUCGGGUGGGACGCAGCGGUCUCGCAUUGCGUUUGUACUGCUGCAGCCCUCCUUCUUGCCGGGGGCGGCCUCUCGGACUUCACUGUCUGGGGGUCAGAAUUGGCGAUGUUACUUUGAGUAAAUUAGAGUGUUCAAAGCAAGCUUACGCUCUGAAUAUAAUAGCAUGGGAUAACACGACAGGACUCUGGCCUAUCGUGUUGGUCUAUAGGACCAGAGUAAUGAUUAAGAGGGACAGUCGGGGGCAUUCGUAUUCCGUUGUCAGAGGUGAAAUUCUUGGAUUUACGGAAGACGAACAUCUGCGAAAGCAUUUGCCAAGGAUGUUUNCAUUGA
rnacentral:rRNA from 1 species